CCUGCUCAUUGCUUCACAUGCAACACAGCCCUCUGGGAUGGUUGUGGCUCUUUAUGGCCAUUUAUGCUCUCUUAAAUAAGGCAUGCUGAAUGGGCAUACUUUCUUCCUACGCACACAUACAUACACACUGCUUGCAUUCAUUAUUCUCUGCCGAGCGCUGGCCCACUUGAUGCACUGCUUGAUCGUUUGCAGCAUACUUGUGCGGUGUGCUUUUCUCAUUACUGGUUGCAUCUCAACGUGUCGAACGAAGUUGAUCAAUUAUUAUCAGAUCUGGUUGCGAAUCAUUCUUCAGAUCAUUCAAAGUAUGUGUCCGACUUACUCCACACUUGUUCCAGCUAAGGUAUCUUGCGACCUUCGUACGUGGAAGGCUUCGUCCAGAACUCAGCAGAUUUUGGAGCCUGUAGUAGUCACGGUUCCCGUUAACAAUAUUUCAGCACUUCAGCUCAUCCACUUCGGUCCACUGCACCACGCACGAGCUACUUCAUCGAAAGCAUCACCGCAAUGGUUGCUGGGAUCGUCAUCUUCGAAAUCAGCACUUUCCGUACGACGUCG